rnacentral:rRNA from 1 species
GAUGAACGCUGGCGGCGUGCCUAAUACAUGCAAGUCGAGCGAACAGACGAGGAGCUUGCUCCUCUGACGUUAGCGGCGGACGGGUGAGUAACACGUGGAUAACCUACCUAUAAGACUGGGAUAACUUCGGGAAACCGGAGCUAAUACCGGAUAAUAUAUUGAACCGCAUGGUUCAAUAGUGAAAGACGGUUUUGCUGUCACUUAUAGAUGGAUCCGCGCCGCAUUAGCUAGUUGGUAAGGUAACGGCUUGCCAAGGCAACGAUGCGUAGCCGACCUGAGAGGGUGAUCGGCCACACCGGAACUGAGACACGGUCCAGACUCCUACGGGAGGCAGCAGUAGGGAAUCUUCCGCAAUGGGCGAAAGCUUGACGGAGCAACGCCGCGUGAGUGAUGAAGGUCUUCGGAUCGUAAAACUCUGUUAUUAAGGAAGAACAAAUGUGUAAGUAACUAUGCACGUCUUGACGGUACCUAAUCAGAAAGCCACGGCUAACUACGUG